AUGAGGUUUGUAGAUCCAUAAAUCACCUUCUUUCAAGGCUGGAUCAGAUAUUCAAACAAGUGCAUUUUCUUCCUGCCACUGUCACCUGGCAGCUAAGGGAUGUGAGAUUCUCCUCCAUUGCGUUUCUGCCCACGGAAAAAGAAGAGACCCCACACUUCAGUACCUUUGGACAUAAAAGCAACCUGAAA